rnacentral:rRNA from 1 species
UGCCAGCCGCCGCGGUAAUACGGAGGGUGCAAGCGUUAUCCGGAUUCAUUGGGUUUAAAGGGUGCGCAGGCGGAUUAUUAAGUUAGUGGUGAAAUCCCGGGGCUCAACCUCGGAACUGCCAUUAAUACUGGUAAUCUGGAAUACGGUUGAAGUGGGCGGAAUGUAGCAUGUAGCGGUGAAAUGCAUAGAGAUGCUACAGAACACCGAUCGCGAAGGCAGCUCACUAAGCCGAUAUUGACGCUCAGGCACGAAAGCGUGGGGAGCGAACAGGAUUAGAUACCCUGGUAGUCCACGCCGUAAACGAUGAUAACUCGUUGUUGGCGACACACAGUCAGCGACUAAGCGAAAGCGAUAAGUUAUCCACCUGGGGAGUACGAUCGCAAGGUUGAAACUUAAAUGAAUUGGCGG